rnacentral:rRNA from 1 species
UACGUAGGGUGCAAGCGUUAAUCGGAAUUACUGGGCGUAAAGCGUGCGCAGGCGGUUUUGUAAGUUUGAUGUGAAAUCUCCGGGCUUAACCCGGAAAUGGCAUUGAAUACUAUUGAGCUGGAGGUUUGGAGGGGGGACUGGAAUUCUCGGUGUAGCAGUGAAAUGCGUAGAUAUCGAGAGGAACACCAGUGGCGAAGGCGAGUCCCUGGACAACACCUGACACUGAGGCACGAAAGCUAGGGGAGCAAACAGG